GGCCGGAGCGGGGGAUUGUGGGAAGCGCGGGGAUGCGCGGGCUCCACAACUUGAGACCUGCGUGCUACGAACGCCAUUUGGCCGCGGAGUGCGAAGAGAAUGCUUUGUUGCGGACCCCCGUAGGACCUGGACCCCUCUGCUUCAGCAGGGUCGCAGGCGGCCCGGAGCAUGCGGAAUGGCAUUCAAGGCACCCCCUCCCCAGUCUAAAAAUAAACCCAUCCCGGGAGGCGACCCUUCCCAAAUGAGGCAGCUGCAAUUUGGAAACGCUGAAUAUUUAACUACAAAGAAAAGCUCAUCUGCUUGGCUGGCCUCCAGCAGAGUGUGGUAGCAGCAGGCAGGAGCCUGGCAGUGUGGGAGGAGACCUGACAGGAAACAGGGAAGAAUUUCCAGGUAUUGGUUCACCUCCACACUGGCUGGACAUGCAGAUACCUGCUACUAACAGGAGUCAGUCAUCUUAUGCAUUAAGCAACUUAACACGUUGCUGUCCCUAACUCCAACUUACUGGAUUUUAACAAUAACCGAGCAUCAAGAAGGGAUAUUUACCAAUAACUUGGAGGACCCAUAACUUCACUGUCUUCUUGCCGCUGCAACCUGCUGCCACGAAUCAUUUCCACCUGCUACAGAUCCCUUGCCACAGCACUCCAGUCCCGAUUUUCCCUCGGGCCUCUAGAUACCAUCACAGCAGCAUCAUCCUAUUAGCACAUAUUUUCUGAAUGCUUAAUUACCAGCUGAGUGGUUUUGAGUGACAGUUUGUGGACCAAGACAGAAUGAAGUUUUCAUCAGUUCACUGAUACAUAAGAAAAGCAAAGACCGGCUAGUGAGCCGUGUGCGCUAGCAGGUACGGGAGUCUCCAACCACUCCACCUGUGCUAAGGGGAAACCUGUGUCGAGGUGAGAAGCUCAAUCCAUGGAGGAAGAUGCGAGAAACCUAUGUCGGCCUUGGGUCCACGCCACUUCUCAGAGCAGCUCUCACAGCAACAAGGCUGAUCUUCUGUCCAUGUCUUCCAGUUCAGGACUUGGGCAGGGAAGGACACACAGGCCCCUGAGAAUCCCAGCACUGCGUUCCUAAGCUGUGGGUGCCGGGUGUCUCCCAAACUCGCUCUCUUCUAAG
ensembl:lncRNA